AGCAGCCGCGGUAAUUCCAGCUCCAAUAGCGUAUAUUAAAGUUGUUGCAGUUAAAAAGCUCGUAGUUGAAUUUCGAGACUGGUUUAUUGGUCGUGCUUUUGUACGUACUGGUAUUAUUGGUUUCUCCUUUCUGACGAAUCAUAAUGCCAUUAAUUUGGUGUUUUGGGGAAUCAGGACUGUUACUUUGAAAAAAUUAGAGUGUUUAAAGCAGGCUCACGCUUGAAUACAUUAGCAUGGAAUAACGGAAUAGGACGUUUGAUUCUAUUUUGUUGGUUUCUAGGAUCGACGUAAUGAUUAAUAGGGAUAGUUGGGG
rnacentral:rRNA from 1 species